GGGAAUCUUCCACAAUGGGCGAAAGCCUGAUGGAGCAACGCCGCGUGGGUGAAGAAGGCCUUCGGGUUGUAAAAUUCUGUUAUAAGGGAAGAAAGGUGAUAGGAGGAAAUGACUAUCAAUUGACGUUACCUUAUGAGAAAGCCACGGCUAACUACGUGCCAGCAGCCGCGGUAAUACGUAGGUGGCAAGCGUUAUCCGGAAUUAUUGGGCGUAAAGAGCGCGCAGGUGGUUAAUUAAGUCUGAUGUGAAAGCCCACGGCUUAACCGUGGAGGGUCAUUGGAAACUGGUUGACUUGAGUGCAGAAGAGGGAAGUGGAAUUCCAUGUGUAGCGGUGAAAUGCGUAGAUAUAUGGAAGAACACCAGUGGCGAAAGCGGCUCUCUGGUCUGUAACUGACGCUGAGGUUCGAAAGCGUGGGUAGCA
rnacentral:rRNA from 1 species